rnacentral:rRNA from 1 species
GCUAACGACGUGCCGGCAGCCGCGGUAAAACGGAGGAGGCAAGCGUUAUCCGGAUUCACUGGGCGUAAAGCGCGUGCAGGCGGGUCGGGAAGUUGGGCGUGAAAUCUCCCGGCUCAACUGGGAGAGGUCGUUCAAUACUACCGGGCUAGAGAGCAGUAGAGGAAGAUGGAAUUCCCGGUGUAGUGGUGAAAUGCGUAGAUAUCGGGAGGAACACCAGUGGCGAAGGCGAUCUUCUGGACUGUUUCUGACGCUCAGACGCGAAAGCUAGGGUAGUAAACGGGAUUAGAUACCCCGGUAGUC